GCUCCUGUAGCGCAAUUGGUAGACGCGUUAGCGAAGCGGCUCUGAAAGAGCUUCGCCUCAAAAGCGGUAGUACUGCGAGUUCGAGUCUCGCCGGGAGCA
rnacentral:tRNA from 1 species